rnacentral:rRNA from 1 species
CUUAAAGGAAUUGACGGGGCCCGCACAAGCGGUGGAGCAUGUGGUUUAAUUCGACGCAACGCGAAGAACCUUACCAGGGCUUGACAUCCCCUGACCGCGUAUGAAAGUACGUUUUCACCCUCGGGUGACAGGGAGACAGGUGGUGCAUGGUUGUCGUCAGCUCGUGUCGUGAGAUGUUGGGUUAAGUCCCGCAACGAGCGCAACCCUUAUCUUUAAUUGCCAGCAUUCAGUUGGGCACUUUAAAGAGACUGCCGGUGUUAAACCGGAGGAAGGUGGGAUGACGUCAAGUCCUCAUGGCCUUUAUGCUUAGGGCUACACACGUGCUACAAUGGGUGGUACAAAGGGCAGCGACACAGCGAUGUGAAGCGAAUCCCGAAAAGCCGGUCUCAGUCCGGAUUGGAGUCUGCAACUCGACUCCAUGAAGUUGGAAUCGCUAGUAAUCGCAGAUCAGCACGCUGCGGUGAAUACGUUCCCGGGCCUU